UACGGAGGGGGUUAGCGUUGUUCGGAAUUACUGGGCGUAAAGCGCACGUAGGCGGACUGGAAAGUUGGGGGUGAAAUCCCGGGGCUCAACCUCGGAACUGCCUUCAAAACUCCCAGUCUUGAGGUCGAGAGAGGUGAGUGGAAUUCCGAGUGUAGAGGUGAAAUUCGUAGAUAUUCGGAGGAACACCAGUGGCGAAGGCGGCUCACUGGCUCGAUACUGACGCUGAGGUGCGAAAGCGUGGGGAGCAAACAGG
rnacentral:rRNA from 1 species